rnacentral:misc_RNA from 1 species
AAGUCGUAACAAGGUUUCCGUAGGUGAACCUGCGGAAGGAUCAUUAUUAAAAGUCAAUGAGUGCACUUAAUUGUGGCUCAGAAACCUUUAUAAAUCUUUUCACCCAUUAACCCAAAGCUGUCUUGUGUUCCCUUAUCUUGUAUAAGGGUAUAGCAAUUCAGUAGUACGCAUCAUGGAAAUUGCCUUUGUUGGAAUGUUCAAGUUGCAUUAACCCCCCCUUAUCAGUGACCCCCAAUUUUUAUUUAAUUAACACUCAAAUAAGUUUUAAGAAUGUAAACCCCCUUUAAAUUAAUAUAACUUUUAACAAUGGAUCUCUUGGCUCUC